rnacentral:rRNA from 1 species
GAUGAACGCUGGCGGCGUGCCUAAUACAUGCAAGUCGAGCGAACAGACGAGGAGCUUGCUCCUUUGACGUUAGCAGCGGACGGGUGAGUAACACGUGGGUAACCUACCUAUAAGACUGGGAUAACUUCGGGAAACCGGAGCUAAUACCGGAUAAUAUUUCGAACCGCAUGGUUCGAUAGUGAAAGAUGGCUUUGCUAUCACUUAUAGAUGGACCUGCGCCGUAUUAGCUAGUUGGUAAGGUAACGGCUUACCAAGGCAACGAUACGUAGCCGACCUGAGAGGGUGAUCGGCCACACUGGAACUGAGACACGGUCCAGACUCCUACGGGAGGCAGCAGUAGGGAAUCUUCCGCAAUGGGCGAAAGCCUGACGGAGCAACGCCGCGUGAGUGAUGAAGGUCUUCGGAUCGUAAAACUCUGUUAUUAGGGAAGAACAAACGUGUAAGUAACUGUGCACGUCUUGACGGUACCUAAUCAGAAAGCCACGGCUAACUACGUGCCAGCAGCCGCGGUAAUACGUAGGUGGCAAGCGUUAUCCGGAAUUAUUGGGCGUAAAGCGCGCGUAGGCGGUUUUUUAAGUCUGAUGUGAAAGCCCACGGCUCAACCGUGGAGGGUCAUUGGAAACUGGAAAACUUGAGUGCAGAAGAGGAAAGUGGAAUUCCAUGUGUAGCGGUGAAAUGCGCAGAGAUAUGGAGGAACACCAGUGGCGAAGGCGACUUUCUGGUCUGUAACUGACGCUGAUGUGCGAAAGCGUGGGGAUCAAACAGGAUUAGAUACCCUGGUAGUCCACGCCGUAAACGAUGAGUGCUAAGUGUUAGGGGGUUUCCGCCCCUUAGUGCUGCAGCUAACGCAUUAAGCACUCCGCCUGGGGAGUACGACCGCAAGGUUGAAACUCAAAGGAAUUGACGGGGGCCCGCACAAGCGGUGGAGCAUGUGGUUUAAUUCGAAGCAACGCGAAGAACCUUACCAAAUCUUGACAUCCUUUGACCCUUCUAGAGAUAGAAGUUUCCCCUUCGGGGGACAAAGUGACAGGUGGUGCAUGGUUGUCGUCAGCUCGUGUCGUGAGAUGUUGGGUUAAGUCCCGCAACGAGCGCAACCCUUAAGCUUAGUUGCCAUCAUUAAGUUGGGCACUCUAAGUUGACUGCCGGUGACAAACCGGAGGAAGGUGGGGAUGACGUCAAAUCAUCAUGCCCCUUAUGAUUUGGGCUACACACGUGCUACAAUGGACAAUACAAAGGGCAGCGAAACCGCGAGGUCAAGCAAAUCCCAUAAAGUUGUUCUCAGUUCGGAUUGUAGUCUGCAACUCGACUACAUGAAGCUGGAAUCGCUAGUAAUUCGUAGAUCAGCAUGCUACGGUGAAUACGUUCCCGGGUUCU